rnacentral:tRNA from 1 species
GGACCCGUGGCUCAAUGGUAGAGCGUUCGACUCAAUAGCCAAAGGUCCCGGGUUCGAAUCCCAGGUGAGCCA